UACAGAGGGGGCAAGCGUUGUUCGGAAUUACUGGGCGUAAAGGGCGCGUAGGCGGCCAACUAAGUCAGACGUGAAAUCCCUCGGCUUAACCGGGGAACUGCGUCUGAGACUGGAUGGCUCGAGUGUGGGAGAGGGAUGCGGAAUUCCAGGUGUAGCGGUGAAAUGCGUAGAUAUCUGGAGGAACAUCGGUGGCGAAGGCGGCAUCCUGGACCAUGACUGACGCUGAGUGAGCGAAAGCCAGGGGAGCAAACGGG
rnacentral:rRNA from 1 species